UCUCUAGAGAGUUUGUGUGUGGAGUUAAC
rnacentral:piRNA from 1 species